rnacentral:ncRNA from 30 species
UCCUGUCUCAAAGGGGUGCUCCAAAUAACGAGCUGAGAUCAUACCCAACGAACCUGGAACAGGUAAUGCUGUUUAGGGAGAGAUGACACUUUAAC